rnacentral:rRNA from 1 species
GACGUAGGGCGCGAGCGUUGUCCGGAUUUAUUGGGCGUAAAGAGCUCGUAGGCGGUCUGUCGCGUCGGCUGUGAAAACCCGGGGCUCAACCCCGGGCCUGCAGUCGAUACGGGCAGACUAGAGUGCGGUAGGGGAGACUGGAAUUUACGGUGUAGCAGUGAAAUGCGUAGAUAUCGUAAGGAAGACCAGUGGCGAAGGCGAGUCUCUGGACAGUUACUGACGCUGAGGCACGAAGGCUAGGGGAGCAAACGGG